GAUGAACGCUGGCGGCGUGCCUAACACAUGCAAGUCGAACGCUCGCAAGAGAGUGGCGCACGGGUGAGUAACACGUAGCUAAUCUGCCCUCAAGACAAGGAUAACUGUAGGAAACUACUGCUAAUACUUGAUAAGCUUACGGACUGUAGAGGUCUAUAAGAAAGAUUUAUCGCUUGAGGAUGAGGCUGCGCGCCAUCAGCUAGUUGGUAAGGUAAUGGCUUACCAAGGCGACGACGGCUAGGGGACCGUGAGAGGGUGACCCCCCACACUGGGACUGAGACACGGCCCAGACUCCUACGGGAGGCAGCAGUGAGGAAUAUUGCUCAAUGGGCGCAAGCCUGAAGCAGCGACGCCGCGUGGAUGAAGAAGGUUUUCGGACUGUAAAUCCUUUUCUGUGUGACGAGAGUGGACGGUAGCACAGGAAUAAGUCUCGGCUAACUACGUGCCAGCAGCCG
rnacentral:rRNA from 1 species